GGCCCUUUUGUGGUUUUGUUUAAUUUGUGGACAGAGACCCAUAGACAGGUGCAAAAAAUAAAUCCUCUUUUGCAAUCCAUAGCCCAUAAAGGUUAGUCCCAGGACUGUAGAAGAAUUAAAAAGCACCAAU